CAAAUAAUAUCAAUCAUAUUUCCAUUCCAUAAUUCACUUCACAAUAUUCAAAAACUCUCAAUCCUCUUAUUCAAAGAAAAUAACAAACAAAAGAAAAGAGGUAGCAUGAAGCUUACCCCGGCUUACACUAUCACAGUGAUAGCACCUUAAUUAACUUCUACAACUCCUAUAUACUUUCCCCUGAUUCUCCAUAUUCUAACCGUAAUUCUGUAAUUAAUCGCUUUUAAUAACUAAAUCACUCAUCCCUCCUCCUGAAUUUCCUAUUAUAUGGACUAUUAAUAUAUUUUACCAAUAUCUU
rnacentral:lncRNA from 1 species